rnacentral:rRNA from 1 species
CCCAGACUCCUACGGGAGGCAGCAGUGGGGAAUAUUGGGCAAUGAGCGAAAGCCUGACCCAGCAACGCCGCGUGAAGGAAGAAGGCUUUCGGGUUGUAAACUUCUUUUGACAGGGAAGAGCAGAAGACGGUACCUGUCGAAUAAGCCACGGCUAACUACGUGCCAGCAGCCGCGGUAAUACGUAGGUGGCAAGCGUUAUCCGGAUUUAUUGGGUGUAAAGGGCGUGUAGGCGGGAGCGCAAGUCAGAUGUGAAAACUCAGGGCUCAACCCUGAGCCUGCAUUUGAAACUGUUUUUCUUGAGUACUGGAGAGGCAGACGGAAUUCCUUGUGUAGCGGUGAAAUGCGUAGAUAUAAGGAGGAACACCAGUGGCGAAGGCGGUCUGCUGGACAGCAACUGACGGUGAGGCGCGAAAGCGUGGGGAGCAAACAGGAUUAGAUACCCGCGUA